rnacentral:rRNA from 1 species
UUCCGUUGAUCCUGCGGAAGGUUGCUGCUAUCGGAAUUCGACUAAGCCAUGCAAGUCAAGGGGACCUUCGGGUCACCGGCAAACUGCUCAGUAACACGUCGAUAACUUGCCCUUAGGUCUGGGAUAACCUUGGAAAACUGAGGCUAAUACCGGAUAGGGGAUUAUUUCUGGAAUGAAUUAUCCUCCAAAGAUUACGCCUAAGGAUAGGUCGGCGGCCGAUUAGGCUGUUGGUGGGGUAAAGGCCCACCAAACCGAAAAUCGGUAGGGGCCCUGAGAGGGGUAGCCCCGAGAAGGGCACUGAGAUACUGGCCCUAGCCCCACGGGGUGCAGCAGGCGCGAAACCUCUACACUGCACGAAAGUGUGAUAGGGGGAUUCCGAGUGCUCAUGUUUUACAUGGGCUUUUGCAAAGAGUAAAAAUCUUGGCGAAUAAGUGGUGGGAAAGACUGGUGCCAGCCGCCGCGGUAACACCAGCGCCACGAGUGGUAACCGCAAUUAUUUGGCCUAAAGCGUCCGUAGCCGGCUCUGUAAAUCUCCUGUGAAACUGUUGGGCUUAACCCAACAACGUGCAGGGGACACUGCAGGGCUUGGGACCGGGAGGAGUCAGAGGUAUUCUUGGGGGAGCGGUAAAAUGCUAUAAUCCCAAGAAGACCACCUGUGGCGAAGGCGUCUGACCAGAACGGAUCCGACGGUGAGGGACGAAAGCUAGGGGAGCGAACCGGAUUAGAUACCCGAGUAGUCCUAGCUGUAAACGCUGCGAGCUAGGUGUUGCAUAUUCUUCAUGAAUAUGCAGUGUCGAAGAGAAGUCGUUAAGCUCGCCGCCUGGGAAGUACGGUCGCAAGACUGAAACUUAAAGGAAUUGGCGGGGGAGCACUACAAGGGGUGCGGCGUGCGGUUCAAUCUAAUUCCACGCAGAGAAUCUCACCAAAGGCGACGGCAGGAUGAAAGUCAGGCUAAAGACCUUACUAGACAAGCCGAGAGGUGGUGCAUGGCCGCCGUCAGCUCGUGCCGUAAGGUGUCCUCUUAAGUGAGGCAACGAGCGAGACCUGUACCCACAAUUGCUAACACUUUUGUUCAAAGGAGUGAGCACAGUGUGGGGACUGCCCUGGAAACAGGGAGGAAGGUGCAGGCUACGGUAGGUCUGUAUGCCCCGAAUCCUUUGGGCUACACGCGCGCAACAAUGGUAGAGACAAUGGGUCACAACCCCGAAAGGGGAAGUUAAUCCUCCAAACUCUAUCCUAGUCCAGAUUGAGGAUUGUAACUCAUCCUCAUGACGACGGAAUCCCUAGUAAUCAGACGUCAUCAUCGUCUGGUGAAUAUGUCCCUGCUCCUUGCACACACCGCCCGUCAAACCACUCGAGCAGGGUUUAGAUGAGUAUUAGCCUCUUAGCUAAUCCGAAUCUAAACUCAGUGAGAUGGGUUAAGUCGUCACAAGGUA